rnacentral:rRNA from 1 species
CCUACGGGUGGCAGCAGUGGGGAAUAUUGCACAAUGGGGGAAACCCUGAUGCAGCGACGCCGCGUGAGUGAAGAAGUAUUUCGGUACGUAAAGCUCUAUCAGCAGGGAAGAAAAUGACGGUACCUGACUAAGAAGCCCCGGCUAACUACGUGCCAGAAGCCGCGGUAAUACGUAGGGGGCAAGCGUUAUCCGGAUUUACUGGGUGUAAAGGGAGCGUAGACGGCAGCGCAAGUCUGGAGUGAAAUCCCAUGGCUUAACCAUGGAACUGCUUUGGAAACUGUGCAGCUAGAGUGCAGGAGAGGUAAGCGGAAUUCCUAGUGUAGCGGUGAAAUGCGUAGAUAUUAGGAGGAACUCCAGUGGCGAAGGCGGCUUACUGGACUGUAACUGACGUUGAGGCUCGAAAGCGUGGGGAGCAAACAGGAUUAGAUACCCCAGUAGUC